CUCCCGCUCCCCAGUCGUUUGGAGUUUCGGUUUCUUGCAAAAGGAGCGUUGUGAAUGAAAUUGAGAAUUUUCCGGGAAUCGGUACCAGCCGCAGGAGGCCAGCAGGGGGCGGCAGAGCUGAGCCACGGGGGAGCGUCACAAGCCUCAGGGCAAACAGCUGCGAGGAAGUAGAGGUUCUAGAUCCCACUCACCACCAUGGCAUCAAUGUGGCCCUGCAGAUAUUGUGUAACAACAGUGACGAACGUCUCUCAAGCGACAUUCUUCUCCAUUUCUUUUUGAUAUGGAAAGCCCAGUUACCUGAGACUCUCCUUUAACCCGCCAAGAAGGAUAAAGAUCUGCAUCACAGCUAGUGGGUCACGUCUUAGAGUAUCUGCUUUUUGUAACUCCCAUGGAGCACUUCUGUACUGUCCAAAGACACAGCAUAGUUGAUAUAACUGCUGCAAAGCAGCUGCAAAACCUGCUUGGAUCAGAAACUGUUCUGAGAAACUGUAAUGUGCGGCAGGGAUUCUUAGAAACUCUGUUAAAAUUCUGCCAACAAAAUGAAGGGAAGUUUGGGCUAAAACCCCUAAGCUGGAUGGAGAGAGGACCUAACCCAUCAGAAUAGCUGUCCACCUGACUGCAUCAAACUGCAGAGGUGAUGCUUCUAAUCCAGCUCUCUUUAGAUUCUCUUCCAUGUCCCGUUGCUCUUCAGAAUAGCUGAUAGAUGGGACUAUUAUGGUCAAAACCACUGGAUAAGUACCCCUUCUUCUGACACGCAUUGAGAUUGGUGUUUCAGUUGCUUCUAAUAAAAUCCAAAGGAAGAGGAAAUCCUGGAUUUGUUUCUUGACCUAUUUUAAGGGGUUAAUUUUUGUGGAAUAAUAGAAAAUCUUUUUGGCAAUGCACUGAUAUCCAGGUUUUCAAAGCUGGAUGCCUCAAGCUAGACUCUUAAACUUAUAUUUAAGCAGUUAAAUAGUGGUCAGAUUUUUCCACUGUGCUACACACCUGCAGCUCCCAUUGAACUCAGUAAAGAUGUAGAUGUCUAGUGCUAUGGAUUUUGAAAACAUUGGUGUCAGGGCUACAGGGUGCACUGCCUUUUACACCUUUCCGGUCCCUCUCGAGUGUGCCACAGCCUGAUGACAUGUUUGGCAUUUUUCGUCUCUCUGAAGGGUGGAACAACACUCUUGGAUUGGAUCAGUGGGUUGCAGUCCCCCUGUUUCCCAACCAUGUCAACGUGACCAGUCCAAAUGUAUUUGGCACUGCAUGAAAGCUUCCCUCCAAGAGUCGGGGGUGGAGGGGGAGGAAGCAAGUGGGGCAAUUUGCCCUGGGCCCCCCGGGGCCCCCCGAGCUGCUUCAGGUUUUUCGACGGCACUUUCACGAUGAGCCCUUCACUCGCUCCGGGUCUUUGGCAGCGGGUCCUUCAGUGCAGCCGAAGACUUGGAGUGCC